GGCGAACGGGUGAGUAACACGUGGGCAAUCUGCCCUUCACUCUGGGACAAGCCCUGGAAACGGGGUCUAAUACCGGAUAUGACACGGGGUCGCAUGAUCUCCGUGUGGAAAGCUCCGGCGGUGAAGGAUGAGCCCGCGGCCUAUCAGCUUGUUGGUGGGGUGAUGGCCUACCAAGGCGACGACGGGUAGCCGGCCUGAGAGGGCGACCGGCCACACUGGGACUGAGACACGGCCCAGACUCCUACGGGAGGCAGCAGUGGGGAAUAUUGCACAAUGGGCGAAAGCCUGAUGCAGCGACGCCGCGUGAGGGAUGACGGCCUUCGGGUUGUAAACCUCUUUCAGCAGGGAAGAAGCGAGAGUGACGGUACCUGCAGAAGAAGCGCCGGCUAACUACGUGCCAGCAGCCGCGGUAAUACGUAGGGCGCAAGCGUUGUCCGGAAUUAUUGGGCGUAAAGAGCUCGUAGGCGGCUUGUCGCGUCGGAUGUGAAAGCCCGGGGCUUAACCCCGGGUCUGCAUUCGAUACGGGCAGGCUAGAGUUCGGUAGGGGAGAUCGGAAUUCCUGGUGUAGCGGUGAAAUGCGCAGAUAUCAGGAGGAACACC
rnacentral:rRNA from 5 species